AGUGCCUAUAUAUUCCUAUCAGACCUCUCCAAUUACCUUCUCUUUCUCUCUCUACUUGUGUUUCUCUCUCUAGAAAUACACAUUCUUUGUUUUUUCAAUCCCUCACUCAUCUGUUAGGUAACUGAAUUUGCAUUUGGUAAUCAAAUUUACACCAUUGAAACAACCAAUACAAAGUUUUGGAGGGGGGCAUAUAUGGAGAGGAGGUUGAACAUGCCCUCUGUUCUUAUUGUUACAGUGCCUCCUCUCAGAUCUUAAUUUUCUUCAAGGUUUGGCAUCUGGGUUUUCGUUAAUCGGUGUGCUGAAUUGUGCGUCCAGUGUUUGAUCGGUGAAGGAUCGGAUAUCACUAAAUUGAAUCCAGGAUUACUUGUUUGAAUCUGUGUGUUUGUUUGAGACAUUUUAGCAAAAGGAAAAAUGCAAUCCGAUAGUGGCAAGUUAUUCAUUGGUGGCAUAUCUUGGGACACAAAUGAAGAGCGUCUCAAAGAGUAUUUCAGUGCUUUUGGGGAGGUGGUAGAAGCAGUGAUCAUGAAGGAUCGGACCACAGGACGUGCUCGUGGAUUUGGUUUUGUAGUUUUUGCAGACCCAGCAGUAGCAGACACUGUCAUAAUGGAAAAGCACAACAUUGAUGGAAGAAUGGUGGAGGCAAAAAAGGCUGUUCCCAGGGAUGACCAGAACACUUUGAGUAGAAACAGUGGCAGCAUCCAUGGUUCUCCAGGUCCAGGACGCACAAGAAAAAUAUUUGUUGGAGGUUUAGCAUCUACUGUUACAGAGGGUGACUUCAAGAAGUACUUUGAACAGUUUGGGACAAUUACAGAUGUUGUGGUGAUGUAUGAUCACAACACCCAGAGGCCGAGAGGCUUCGGAUUCAUCACUUAUGAUUCAGAGGAAGCAGUGGACAAGGUUUUGCUAAAGACAUUUCAUGAACUGAAUGGGAAGAUGGUUGAGGUCAAGCGUGCAGUUCCAAAAGAGUUAUCACCCGGUCCCAGUCGCAGCCCUCUUGGUGGAUACAAUUAUGGUCUGAGUAGGGUCAAUAACUUCCUUACUGGCUAUACUCAGGGGUAUAAUCCAAGUACGGUUGGAGGUUAUGGACUUGGUAGGUUCAGUCCAGUUGCUGGUGGUCGAAGUGGAUUUCCUCCAUUUGGUUCUGGUUAUGGAAUGGGAAUGAACUUUGAGCCAGGGUUGAGCCCAAGUUUUGGAGGAAAUGCAAAUUUUAAUAAUAAUGUGAGCUAUGGACGGGGAUUGAGCCCUUAUUAUAUCAAUAAUUCAAAUAGGUUUAGCAAUCCCAUUGGAUAUGAUGGUAAUAAUGGAGGAAGCUCAUCCUUUUUUAGCUCAGUGACUCGGAAUUUGUGGGGUAAUGGGGGUCUUAAUACAAAUUCUGCAAAUUCCAGUGCUUACAUGGGUUCAGGAAGUGGUAGCAUUGGAGGAAGUACAUUUGGCAAUGCUGGAGUUAAUUGGCGUUCUUCAGCAAUUUCACCUCAAGGUGGAGGAAAUAAUGUCUCUAACAAUAGUGGGACACUUGGCUAUGGAGCUGGUGAUAACAGUUAUGGCUUGGGAACCGGAGGGUAUGGAAGAAACAGUGGUGCAACUGUGGGCCCUACAUCUUCUUUUGCUGCAUCAAAUGGUGGUUUUGAGGGCUCCUUUACUGACUUCUACAGUAGUGGUUCAGUGUACGGAGAUCCUACUUGGAGAUCAUCAAAUUCUGAGCGAGAUGGGUCUGGCCCCUUUGGGUAUGGGCUUGGCAGUGCAGCUUCUGAUGUUUCAGCUAAAAGUUCUCCUGGUUAUGUUGGUGGUUAUAGUGUUAAUAAGAGACAGCCGAAUACAGGGUACUUCGUUUAAAUAAUUUGGGACGGAAUAAUGGAUGUCUAUAAACAACGUCCUCCUUCUGAGAUACAUGGUUUAAAGUUUUGCAUUUGAUAUUGGGGCGUAGAGAAAAUUGUUCAUAUUUACAUUGUAUAUGGUAUUGAUGGGAUAUAAUCGGGUCUUCUGACAAAAGAGGAACUAAAAAAAGAGCUUUAUGGGAUCUCUCCUUUCUUGUGUAGGAAUUGCUGCCUAGGAUCAUUUCUGAUAUCACGUCAUAGUAGGUGAAGAUAAUCCGGUGAAGCAGGUGAAUUGUGAAUUUUGCAAACCUACCUCAUUCAUAUAUCUCAGUAAAAGAAAUUUGGUUAGUAAGAGCUAACUGGGAGUGCCUGUUUUGAAGGAUUAAAGUUAGAGAUAGAAGUUAAAAUGGAUUUUGUGUUAAUGCUUUUGUUUUGAGUUACCCUUUUAGGCUUUUUUGUUUUGAUCUUUGAGUGAGAUGUAAAAUCAGAUUGCGGGAUAUAGUCAGAAGUGUAUCAUGCAUCUCCGGUGAGGCGGCGAUACCAAAAAGAAAAAAAAAACAAAAAAACAAAAAGUUAUAGACUGAUAUAUAUUUUCUUUCUUCUACUUUAGAAUUUCAUCUGUAACAUCUCUGGCAAAGUCGUGGGUUCUGGUCAGGGAAUGGUUUUUUCUUAUUCUUUCAUCCCAUCAUUUGGUUUGUUUUUUCUCUUCUUUUUGUACCUGAGAUUACAGUUUAUUUACUAGUGUGAAACAUUUAAGGGUUACCCAUCUAGGGACCCCAUGAAUAA